AAUAAAUAUAGAAUUGAAAAACCGGUUGUAAAGGGGUUAAAUAGAUAUAAAAAUGCAGCAGUCUUUAGUACUGGUACCACAAAAAGCGGUAGCUUUGAAUUUGUAUCACUCCGCUCACAGAGCGUGUUCAAAGUGCACGUAUUCGAGGAGAAUGCAUUUUUCGGUUUCUACACCUACAAGCACAGACGUUUUUCAUUCUUAAAGCUACCACUAUAUCGAUUUUUUUACCAAGUGGCAACCAUGAAUUUCGCGGCAACUCACAAAUAAAAUAGUUUCGAAGAAUCACGAUGUCGAGGCGAAUAUCGAUACUAUCAACAAAUUCUUUUUGGAAGACCAAGAAGAUGGCCCUAAAAAGCGGGACGCUGCCGAGUCUUGUGCAGCGGGAGCAGCAGUGCGGCAAACACGGUGACCAACCUGCUUCUGUCUGGUCGAUUUUUAGGUGAAAUAUGUAACUAUAUGUAUGUAAAUAUGUA